rnacentral:rRNA from 1 species
ACGGGUGAGUAAUGCCUAGGAAAUUGCCCUGAUGUGGGGGAUAACCAUUGGAAACGAUGGCUAAUACCGCAUGAUGCCUACGGGCCAAAGAGGGGGACCUUCGGGCCUCUCGCGUCAGGAUAUGCCUAGGUGGGAUUAGCUAGUUGGUGAGGUAAGGGCUCACCAAGGCGACGAUCCCUAGCUGGUCUGAGAGGAUGAUCAGCCACACUGGAACUGAGACACGGUCCAGACUCCUACGGGAGGCAGCAGUGGGGAAUAUUGCACAAUGGGCGCAAGCCUGAUGCAGCCAUGCCGCGUGUGUGAAGAAGGCCUUCGGGUUGUAAAGCACUUUCAGUCGUGAGGAAGGUGGUAGUGUUAAUAGCACUAUCAUUUGACGUUAGCGACAGAAGAAGCACCGGCUAACUCCGUGCCAGCAGCCGCGGUAAUACGGAGGGUGCGAGCGUUAAUCGGAAUUACUGGGCGUAAAGCGCAUGCAGGUGGUUUGUUAAGUCAGAUGUGAA